CAUCCUAGAAGACAAAAUAUUCAGCAUUAAUAUAAGGUACUAAUGUGUGAUACAAAUUCAUCCUGGACACUACAAAGCCUGACUUAAAUGGAAUCCCAUGCACAGCUCUUUGGCUCUGUUCUGUUUGAAUUUGGCUUGUUUCAGUAAACCACAUGCGGGAGAUCAGAUACUAUUAGGGCUCAUCACAUCAGCUCUGCACUGCAGGUAAUCUGAAAAGAUUAUCAGCACAACCGGGCUGGAAGUGGCUUGGACUGGUAGUGGUCAGUUGUCUCACAUUUCCCCUGCACACAUUUCUGCUAUAUAGGGAACAGAGGCAGCUGAGGAGGAGAGGAGACAAGAGACUGCAGUUAAUGGGAGAGUGCUGGCAGAACUAAGUCCAAAGCCAGAGCUGUCUCGAUCUCUUAACAAGAACUGCUGCAUGAAAGGGGACCAUGGAAGCAUCCUUUCCAGGCAAAUAUCACCCAGUGGAGAGCCAGAAAUAUUGCAGACUUAGAUAGAAUGACUCAUGGCUGGGUUCCCACAAGCACUUGAUGACAUUGAAGAGAAAUUUAUCAAAGAACAACUCCAAAACAGAAGCAGGUCAGAAAUGCAACUGUAUCCUUAAAUAGAUUUUCUGAUCAUAAGCACAAUACCCAGUUUACCUUGGAAGAUUGUUGUGUAAAUAGAAAAGGUUACGUCCAAAUCUGCAACAUCCAUUUAUACAAUCACAUCAAGAUGGUCCUCAGAUUUACAAAAGUAAGUUGUAAUAGUGGAUGCAAUCAAGUGCUGUAAUAUAUUGGAUGUCAACAUAGCUAAAAGUACAAAUACCCAUCGUAGUUCUCAUUCUUAAAGUGUUAUGUAAAAACUGAGGAAAAAAUAAUUUUAAAAUCUUGCAGAAAAAUCCUCAUGGUUCAGCAAAAGUUAUGCACUUUUAUGUCUCAUUUAGUUUUGAUGGGAGUGAUCCUAGCACAUGUUUACCUCUCCCAUUUUGGCCAUAAGAAGUUUGUUUCAAUGUCUAAACUAACAUGUUAGCAAGAUUUAAAGGAGAAAAAGCAAUACAACAACAAUUUCUAAUAAAUUUUAUGUCUUUUUUUGACAAUAAGAAGAAACAUGGUUUGUCACCCAAGUCAAAUUAUGGUUUUGAAAUGUUCUAAAAAUUUGAACUAAAGUAGUCAAUAGAUGCAGAAUUUUGUUGGAUGACUUCUCAGCUAUCUGUAAAGAUUUUUGUUUAUUAUUUUAUCUUCAACAAGGUCUUUGAAAGAUUAUGGUUACUGAAAGUUGCAUUUUUGUGUGUAUAACAUUUCCUGUGAAUUUUUGUUAUUAAGUGCUUAGUGUUAUAACAACAAUUUCACCCAUCAAAAUCAAUGGGAUGUAAAAGUACUUUGCUGUGGCUUGAUCAUGCCCAAACAG